ACGGCGUCUUCACGGGCGAUUGGAUCUGAGCUCUUGUUCUGGCUCCUCCGUCACGGCGUCAACACAGCCAACCACACCGGAGUCAACUGCACGACGAGGAGUCGUCGUCCUCGAUCUUCCUCCCUCUCCUCCGCGCCCGCCGACGGGCCGCGUCUCCAUGUCCUCGGCCAUGUUGCCAGCGGCAGCAAUGCGGUCUGGCGUGGGCGCCGACGGAGUUCCCGUCUUCUUCCCUGCAUCGCGAGCGCAGUGCCGGCCUGCCUACGUCGGGGUUGCUCGCCACAUGGCCGACCCGGAGGUGGAGACGCUGCGACCAGGUUCAUCACCAAGCCGCAUCCCUGAACCUCCGUAGCGAGCGUUGUAGAUGCAGUACCGCCGCCGUAUCCCGCCCCCAUGAUCCAGACGCGCAGGCCAGAUCCGCCGCCGCCGGGAGCAGCGUAGAGUCAUGGCCGUGCGCUAUCAUACAGCCUCAAUGCGUCAACCCCGGCCAUCUCUACGCGGGACGACUAUGCCUCAUCAUGGAUGACCUCCAACACUGUCCUGCUGCCCAGAAGGAACAAAACAUCCGGCCCUCGGACGACUUCCCCUGUCCCCGCUAAGAUCGCCCCUUUUAAACAGCUGAGCCGCAUCGCUCCUAUGGUCUCCACCAUCAGCUUCGUGUCUCCCCCUUAGGUGACCUCAAAAGCACAUGCGUAGUAUCAAUAUCAUAGUUGUAAUUACUAAUCCAUACAAUUGUUAUUAUUUCGCUGUUAUUUGCAGACCUGUUUUUUGUGUGCUAAAGUUGGCUGGGUACUUUGGCCACUUUCACUUGAAAUAUCAAAGAUAGAAAGGAGCAUAUAUGGUUUCAUCUUUCAUGCCUCUCAUGUUUCGGUACUGUACCUACAAAUUUUUAGAUAUACAUUGGAGUACAGCAUAGUAUUAAAGUGCACCACAUCGACUAUAUCAUUGCCUCCAAAUGGUUACUUGGUCUCUGUAUUAUAGCUGAUGGUGUAAUCGAUGUUUCAGAUCUGAUACAGUCACCGGUUAUGAGAACUUUUUGAUUUGCUUAGUAACUUUUGUUGUAGAUUCUAGGUUUGUUUUGUCAGCUAACAGGACCUUCCAUACAUUAACAAAUACAGUAUAUUUUUAGCUGAUUGUUACCUACUUGACUUCAUCUGGCCACACCAGCAAGUUACAUAUAUAUGUUGACUCCUGCAUAUGAAUGACAGCAAUAUAUUGGCAUCUACCUGCUGAUCACGAGUUCACGACUGAGAUUUGAGAUGGAUAAGGUAUCCCUUCUUAACACGAAUAUGUUUUGUUUUCCUGAAAGAAAAACUUGACAGUUCAAACAUAGUUUUUAUAUUUGCAUUUAUGCAAAUUAUGUUGGGAUCUCCUUAUUCUCAUGAUUUGUUAUUCAGGACAUUGUCGGUCUGCCGCUUUAGAUCAUCUUUUAAUUUUCUUUAUCAUGAACAUCUAUUUCAAUGUUGUUUCUCAGCGAUUGGUGUAGGUCAUUCAGAACCCACUCCAACAUUUCGUCGGGUUUGUUACGUCUUUGCCUCCAUUUAGUUAGCCACUUGAGUUUUCCAAGUUAUCAUGCAUGUAUUACUGGAUAAUUCAUCACACUUUUAAUCUAUAGUAGACUAAGGAGAUUUAUGCUGCUACCCCAUAAGUAAUACUUCAAUGGUGAGCUACCUUCUGCAUUGUAGAGUUCUCUUUUUAAGGUAUGCCAUUCUAAAUCAUUUUCUGAUUUUAUAUUAAUAAUCGUUUGUUCAGUCCCUAUUGUUGUGACCUCAAUGGUAAUUAUUGCCUCCUAAUUCUAGCAAAUAUUCACCGGUUAUGUAUGGUUCUCUAUUUGCGCAUCACCAGUUGUGAAGGGUCCAAUAUAAUCAAUCUACUAAACUUUUCUUGGGAUAUUCAUACGUAAAUUUCUAUCAAAUGUACACAAUUUCCAUUUUUAGUCAGUGUAAACUUACCAGAUUAUUCAAGUUUUUCUUAAUUUGCUUCUGGGAACAACCCAAUAUAUGCCCAAGGAGUAGUGAAGCGGGUGAUCUAAUCUUGCUCUUUCUUUUGCUUCAGAAUGAAUUGUCGUCGGGCAAACUGAAUAAAAUACUGUAGAGAACCGCGACACCAAGGGUCUUCUCCUUUGCCAAGAGGUUAUUUCCACUACAGGAAGGAAAGGCUCUAUUGUCUUAACAAGGAUGAAAAGUAUAAUAGCAUACAUAAACCAACAUGGACAGCCCAGAUCUGGUAAAUUGGUUAUGUCACUUAAGCUGUCUCUAGCAUUUGCUAUAAUGCACAAAAUCCUGGUAUGGGGUAAAUUGCUAAACCUUCAAGACCGCUCAUUGGAGUGAGGACGUGGUCGGACAUUCACCCUACCAUCCAUCGACUCAUUGUUGCUGAUAUCAUAAGAUGGGACCUGGAAGAUAGAACAGAAACAGACGAAAAAGUUCUCCAAAUUGCGAAAGAGCGAUAUAGAGGCUGUCGAUCAACUCUAAGCUCCACUUACAAGGCAUGCAAAAUAGAUGCAGCUAGAUAGGCUAAUCCGUCGGAAGAUUUACAACCAGAAGAGUGAGAAAACGGAUGAUUGAGUACUUUGGCACUGAUUCAAAAUUUCAGGAACGCAGCCAAAAGAACAUUGAUACACGUAAGAAACUGAAGACAAAAGACAGAAUUGGAUCAAAAUCUUAUUUGCAACUUAGUUUUGAGAAGAGAAACUUGGAAACUGGAGAAGAUUCGGAUUGUAUUGCUCUGUGGGAACUCACCCACAAGAAGAAUGAAACAUGGUCUAACAGAGAGUCCCAAUAUGUUUACGCGAGUACACUGACUUUUGGUUAAUUAUUCAGUGUGCUUUCAGCAUGCUUCUUCAUCGGAUGGGAUUAUUCAUGUAUUGGAUCAUGCUAUUCUUGUUUCAUCAUUUAUAGUGUCAAUAUUGGUGGAUAUUUGCUACGAAAAUUAUAAAUUUUAUGAAUCUACAUAUUGUGUGUAUGGUUUUGAAUAUUGUAAUUGAAUGCCUGUAUUUUUUUU